rnacentral:rRNA from 1 species
GAGGACCGAACCGACUAAUGUUGAAAAAUUAGCGGAUGACCUGUGGCUGGGGGUGAAAGGCCAAUCAAACCGGGAGAUAGCUGGUUCUCCCCGAAAGCUAUUUAGGUAGCGCCUCGUGAAUUCAUCUCCGGGGGUAGAGCACUGUUUCGGCUAGGGGGCCAUCCCGGCUUACCAACCCGAUGCAAACUGCGAAUACCGGAGAAUGUUAUCACGGGAGACACACGGCGGGUGCUAACGUCCGUCGUGAAGAGGGAAACAACCCAGACCGCCAGCUAAGGUCCCAAAGUCAUGGUUAAGUGGGAAACGAUGUGGGAAGGCCCAGACAGCCAGGAUGUUGGCUUAGAAGCAGCCAUCAUUUAAAGAAAGCGUAAUAGCUCACUGGUCGAGUCGGCCUGCGCGGAAGAUGUAACGGGGCUAAACCAUGCACCGAAGCUGCGGCAGCGACACUGUGUGUUGUUGGGUAGGGGAGCGUUCUGUAAGCCUGUGAAGGUGUGUCGUGAGGCAUGCUGGAGGUAUCAGAAGUGCGAAUG